GACGAACGCUGGCGGCGUGCUUAACACAUGCAAGUCGAACGGAAAGGCUCCAGCUUGCUGGAGUACUCGAGUGGCGAACGGGUGAGUAACACGUGGGUAAUCUGCCCUGCACUCUGGGAUAAGCCUGGGAAACUGGGUCUAAUACUGGAUAUGACCUUUCUCCUUAUGGGGUUUGGUGGAAAGUUUUUCGGUGUAGGAUGAGCCCGCGGCCUAUCAGCUUGUUGGUGGGGUGAUGGCCUACCAAGGCGACGACGGGUAGCCGGCCUGAGAGGGUGAUCGGCACAUUUGGGAAGGAGAAACGGCCCAAAUCCCAAGGGGGGGCAGGGUGGGGGAAAAUGGCAAAAGGGGCGGAACCCUGAUGCAGCGAGCCCGGGUGGGGGAUGACGGCCUUCGGGUGGGAACCUGCUUUCAGGGGGGACGAAGCGUAAGGGACGGUCCCGGAAGAAGAAGCACCGGCUAACUAUGU
rnacentral:rRNA from 1 species